UGCCUAAACUCAUAUCUUUGGAUGUGAGCAUGGCACAAUAAUAAAUCCUAAGUAAUAGAGACGGCCUCAUGGUCGGCACUUAUUACUUAGGUCAGUGAUUCGAAAGAAUUACUGGGCAUUUUCGAAAGGAAAUGUC
rnacentral:sRNA from 1 species